GACAGAGGUGCCGAGCGUUAGGCGGAAUCACUGGGCUUAAAGCGUGUGUAGGCGGAUCGUUAAGUACCUUGUGAAAUCCCAUGGCUCAACCAUGGAACUGCUUGGUAUACUGGCGGUCUUGAGCCAGCUAGGGGCUACCGGAACAAACGGUGGAGCGGUGAAAUGCGUAGAUAUCGUUUGGAACGCCAAUGGUGAAAACAGGUUGCUGGGAGUGUGCUGACGCUGAGACACGAAAGCCAGGGGAGCAAACGGG
rnacentral:rRNA from 1 species